GAUGAACGCUGGCGGCGUGCUUAACACAUGCAAGUCGAACGAAGCAUUUGCGACAGAUUUUUUCGGAAUGAAGUUGCUUAUGACUGAGUGGCGGACGGGUGAGUAACGCGUGGGUAACCUGCCUUGUACUGGGGGAUAGCAGCUGGAAACGGCUGGUAAUACCGCAUAAGCGCACAAUGUUGCAUGACAUGGUGUGAAAAACUCCGGUGGUAUAAGAUGGACCCGCGUCUGAUUAGCUAGUUGGUGAGAUAACAGCCCACCAAGGCGACGAUCAGUAGCCGACCUGAGAGGGUGACCGGCCACAUUGGGACUGAGACACGACCCAGACUCCUACGGGAGGCAGCAGUGGGGAAUAUUGCACAAUGGAGGAAACUCUGAUGCAGCGACGCCGCGUGAGUGAAGAAGUAAUUCGUUAUGUAAAGCUCUAUCAGCAGGGAAGAUAGUGACGGUACCUGACUAAGAAGCUCCGGCUAAAUACGUG
rnacentral:rRNA from 1 species